UCUUUGCUGGUCUGGUGGUUAGGAUUUCUGGUUCUCAUCCAGACUACCUAGGUUUAAUUCCUAGGCAGGGAA
rfam:TPA: Bos taurus chromosome 3, whole genome shotgun sequence.